CCUACGGGAGGCAGCAGUGGGGAAUUUUGGACAAUGGAGGAAACUCUGACCCAGCGACGCCGCGUGAGGGAUGAAGGCCUUCGGGUUGUAAACCUCUUUCAGUAGGGAAGAAGCGAAAGUGACGGUACCUACAGAAGAAGCACCGGCUAACUAUGUGCCAGCAGCCGCGGUAAUACAUAGGGUGCAAGCGUUGUCCGGAAUUAUUGGGCGUAAAGAGCUCGUAGGUGGUUCGAUACGUCGGAUGUGAAAAUCAGGGGCUCAACCCCUGACCUGCAUCCGAUACGGUCGAGCUAGAGUUUGGUAGGGGAGACUGGAAUUCCUGGUGUAGCGGUGGAAUGCGCAGAUAUCAGGAGGAACACCGAUGGCGAAGGCAGGUCUCUGGGCCAAUACUGACACUGAGGAGCGAAAGCGUGGGGAGCGAACAGGAUUAGAUACCCUGGUAGUCCACGCCGUAAACGGUGGGCGCUAGUUGUGCGAACCUUCCACGGUUUGUGCGACGCAGCUAACGCAUUAAGCAAUCCGCCUGGGGAGUACGACCGCAAGGUUAAAACUCAAAUGAAUUGACGG
rnacentral:rRNA from 1 species